ensembl:lncRNA
CGGGUGUGGGGACCUGCUGAGAGAAUCUGGAUAUGAUAGAUUCUGUGGUAUGUAUUAUGCAUCAAACCUGUAGUUUAAGAUUCUAGUGAUUAAACCAUAUCCGACUGUUCAGUUGUGGGGAUCUUCUGAAGGAAACUGGUUAUGACUUCUUCUGGGGUAUGUAAUAUUCAUCAAAUGUGAAGUUUAGGAUUCUAGUGAUUACUUAAACCAUAUUCCACUGUACUGAAGCUCGCUUAUCAAAUAAAAUAUCUUUCCUUUUGGCACAGCAGAGUAUUUUCCCCCCUGAAUACGACAUGGAGGGCAGGUUCCACGGGAAACCUGCUACUGUGUGGUCACUGGGAGUGCUCCUGUUCGUAAUGGUGUGUGGACGCUAUCCCAAAAAUAAGGACCUGCUGAAGAUAGAUUGCUGCCAUCUGAUUCGGCGUCUCCUCCAGCAAGACCCAAGCCGGACUCUUCCACACCUUAGCAUCUUUUGGAGCUGGCAAGCCUUGGUGGCACCUAGACAGUCCUAAAAUGCCCUGUCACCUGUCAUCGUGGUCCCAGAAUUUCCUCUCAUGGCCGCCCAAGAGGUUCAUGUGAAAGCUGUUUCUGCCACAGCCAGCCUAGAGAUUCCUGUCUUGGCCUCUCCAUUCCUCAGCUCAGCAUCUGACAGACUGACAUCAGUGGCCUUAGCAUCUUGCAAAGCUGCCAAGCCUUGGUAGUCUGGUGCCUUGGCUUGAGGCAGUAUCAUAACAGCAUACUUUAACAAUGUAGUUACUGUACAGUUGGUUCAAUAGUUUAUAUAAACAUGGUUCAAUAGUUUAUAUAAUCGAUACAUAAAAAAACUAUUUUGCCAUGAUUACAAGUGAUUUUUAUAUAUCACAACAACAUAGUUUAGAAGCAUACAGUAUUUAUUUAUAUAACAUUAUGGCAUACAGUAGUUUACAGCAUAGUUUAACAAUGUACAAUUU